UACGGAGGGUGCAAGCGUUAUCCGGAUUCACUGGGUUUAAAGGGUGCGUAGGUGGGCUGGUAAGUCAGUGGUGAAAUCUCCAGGCUUAACUUGGAAACUGCCAUGGAUACUAUAGGUCUUGAAUACUGUGGAGGUCAGCGGAAUAUGUCAUGUAGCGGUGAAAUGCUUAGAUAUGACAUAGAACACCAAUUGCGAAGGCAGCUGGCUACACAAAUAUUGACACUGAUGCACGAAAGCGUGGGGAUCAAACAGG
rnacentral:rRNA from 1 species